rnacentral:lncRNA from 1 species
UCUCUUAUGACUCAGGUUAUUGACAGCUGGGAAAAGGCACACACCUCUGACUGAUGGUGACCCAAAAAGAAAUCAUAGAGAAGCAAAUUUGGCUCCACUGGUUUGAUUUUUCCUUCCUUCCUCCUUACACAUCCAAGGAGGUUUUGCUCUGGAAAUCUCUUGCUAUGGAAUGCCUAACAAACCUGAACCAGGAAACCCUUUACCAACAGGAAGUGACCCAGUCUUUCUGCAUGGCAGGUGGCCACGCUGCCACCUGCUCCCUUCCUGUUAGUCAUGACUCCAAGGGUCUUGACAGAGGGUAGUGACAGGCAACUGGAGAUCUGGAAAGAAAAUCUCUCUUCAAAGCAGGUUUGCUGUGUUGCAAACGCCAGGGGACAUCAGUCACAGAGACCUGAAUGUACACAGCACCCCCUGGAGUUGGCAAUGCGGAGGCUCUGGCUGUUGAUCCCAAAGAAGAUUUAAAUUGCAGUCCAUUAUAUUUUUCUCUCAGACUUCUGUUUCUUUGAAUAUUCCAAAUAGAUUAAAAUAUAAUCUGGAAUCUUAAGUGCCUUAGUCUUAUUUAGGUAACAAUACUAUCUAAGAAAAACUCUAGAAGAAUUCACAACAAAUUGCUAACUAUAGUUAUCUCUGGCAGAGGAAGUAGCAUGGGAAAGGCGUGGGAAAAUUUUUUACUUUGACUUUUUUUUCACCUGUGUACUUAUGUAUAAUUUGUGUGGAAUAAAUAAAAUAAUAAAUAUACAUGAUAAAAUUUCAAAUAAAAGUUAAAAAAAUUACGGGGCACUCCUCCUUGAGCCUAUAUGAUGGUUUUGAAAUACUAUUCAAAAAGAACCAGGACUUCUUAGAGAAAUGACUGAGUGCAGGUCUCGGGCAGGAAAUGUACAAGAUGAGCCUGGCACCUCUUAUUAAUACCACAUAGCAAGAAAGGUACGAAGAUGACUAGGGCCAUGGCAAAAGGACUCAUGAACUAACUUGAAGAGGCUUCUACUGACCAAAGACAGAGCAACUUAAGCAUCAAUAAAGAUAAUAACUGCAAUGGCUAUGAUGAAAUACAUUAUGAAUGCAUAAAGUUCAUACUAAUGUUAAACAAAAUGAAAAUUAAUUGGUCAUACUGGGUAGAUGAUGGGGAACUAACAAAUUAUUUUAAAAAUUGGUAAAUCCAGGCAAAGAAUCUAGCAUUUAUUGUAACUUUUUUUUUUUUUUUUGAGACAGAGUUUUGCUCUUGUU